rnacentral:tRNA from 1 species
GCACGAAUGGCUCAGUGGUAGAGCAUCGCCUUGCCAAGGCGAGGGUCGCGGGUUCGAAUCCCGUUUCGUGCU